GCAUGCGCCCUGGGGGCCGGGGAGCAGAGGCUCACGGGAAGCAGGUCGCGACUGGUACGAGGCUGGGACUUCAGGCACAAUGAUGCCUCACCACCAUUUUGGGGUUUUGCUGGAAAGGCCACAGUAAACAUUCUUGGUUAAGCAAUUCUGAGUUGGGCAAGAUGUUUUGAUACCCUGAAUCUCAGUUUUCUCCUCUGUAAAAUAGGGAACACGGGUUCAAUCCCUGGUUCGGGAAGAUCCCACAUGCCGUGGAGCAACUAAGCCUGCGAGCCACAACUACUGAGCCUGUGUGCCACAACUAAUGAAACCCGUGUGCCUAGAGCCCAUGCUCCGACCCACCGUGAUGAGAAGCCCAGGCACCACAACGAAGAGUAGCCCCCGAUCUCUGCAACUAGAGAAAGCCCCCGCACAGCAACGAAGACCCAA